rnacentral:tRNA from 1 species
GCCAUUGUGGCUCAGCGGUUAGAGCGUAUCACUGUUAAUGAUUUUGUCCUGGGUUCGACUCCCAGCAAUGGCU